GAUGAACGCUGGCGGCGUGCCUAAUACAUGCAAGUCGAGCGAACGGACGAGAAGCUUGCUUCUCUGAUGUUAGCGGCGGACGGGUGAGUAACACGUGGAUAACCUACCUAUAAGACUGGGAUAACUUCGGGAAACCGGAGCUAAUACCGGAUAAUAUUUUGAACCGCAUGGUGCAAAAGUGAAAGACGGUCUUGCUGUCACUUAUAGAUGGAUCCGCGCUGCAUUAGCUAGUUGGUAAGGUAACGGCUUACCAAGGCAACGAUGCAUAGCCGACCUGAGAGGGUGAUCGGCCACACUGGAACUGAGACACGGUCCAGACUCCUACGGGAGGCAGCAGUAGGGAAUCUUACGCAAUGGGCGAAAGCCUGACGGAGCAACGCCGCGUGAGUGAUGAAGGUCUUCGGAUCGUAAAACUCUGUUAUUAGGGAAGAACAUAUGUGUAAGUAACUGUGCACAUCUUGACGGUACCUAAUCAGAAAGCCACGGCUAACUACGUG
rnacentral:rRNA from 1 species